ACGGCUCAGUAACACGUGGACAACCUGCCCUUAGGUUGGGUAUAAACCCGGGAAACUGGGUAUAAUACCCGAUAGGUCUCGAUUGCUGGAAUGCAUCGAGAUUUAAAGCUCCGGCGCCUAAGGAUGGGUCUGCGGCCUAUCAGGUAGUAGUGGGUGUAGCGUACCUACUAGCCUACGACGGGUACGGGUUGUGAGAGCAAGAGCCCGGAGAUGGAUUCUGAGACACGAAUCCAGGCCCUACGGGGUGCAGCAGGCGCGAAAACUUUACAAUGCUGGCAACAGCGAUAAGGGAACCUCGAGUGCCAGGUUACAAAUCUGGCUGUCGAGAUGCCUAAAAAGCAUUUCAUAGCAAGGGCCGGGCAAGACCGGUGCCAGCCGCCGCGGUAACACCGGCGGCUCGAGUGGUAACCGUUAUUAUUGGGUCUAAAGGGUCUGUAGCCGGCCGGAUAAGUCUCUUGAGAAAUCUGGCAGCUUAACUGUCAGGCUUUCAGGAGAUACUGUCUGGCUCGAGGCCGGGAGAGGUGAGAGGUACUUCAGGGGUAGGGGUGAAAUCUUGUAAUCCUUGAAGGACCACCAGUGGCGAAGGCGUCUCACCGGAACGGACCUGACGGCAAGGGACGAAAGCUAGGGGCACGAACCGGAUUAGAUACCCGGGUAGUCCUAGCCGUAAACGAUACUCGCUAGGUGUCGGCCACGGUGCGACCGUUGUCGGUGCCGUAGGGAAGCCGUGAAGCGAGCCACCUGGGAAGUACGGCCGCAAGGCUGAAACUUAAAGGAAUUGGCGGGGGAGCAC
rnacentral:rRNA from 1 species